rnacentral:lncRNA from 1 species
ACAUUAGUAGCUGACCAAUGAGUUUAAAAAUCAUAAUGUGACUGUUCAACCCUCCACCAAAAAAAAAGUAUAAAAGAUCUGUGCUUUUUGAGCUUGGGGUUGACUGAGGCCGAGCAACCCCAUGCGCGUCGGAACAAUAAACCUCUUGCCAUUGCAGCAAUCCUCUUGCCAUUGCAGCGAUCUGUCAUCAAGUUGCGUUUUUGGGGGUCGUACACCCAGGGUAAGGCCUCGGGGAUCUUACAGUUUCUAUAGCUUGUUCUACUCUAAAAAACUCAAGUAAAUGAAAUGAUACAACAUUUUGUUUGUAGAUUGCUGGGUAAGAAGGUAAUUGUGGGACACUAGAAACAUUCACUUCAGGGAGGGAACCAAUGACAGACCAGUGUAUAGUCGGUCCAACUUGCUAAACCAGUGAGUUUUCCUGGGGUUAGUAGCAGGAACAUAGGUGAGAACAGUUAGUUACAGGAGCAGAAAUGACUCAAAAAAAUAAUAAUAAAAAAGCUGAUAUAUCAACAAAGUGUACCCCAGUAUGGGUGACAGCUCACAAAAGCUGGUAACCUGGAACUCACUCUAGCUUGCCUGCAGCUCAUGGGGUUAAAGAACGCCCUCUCCUGGUCCAUUUGUUAAUCUGAGUUACCUCCAAGCAGCUCAGAUUGUCUGUGGGUCUCCCAGGAAGUUCAGAUGAUUCCUUGCUUCUUUCAGGCUGCUGGGCUUUUCUGAGAAGGACUCUCAGCUCGCUUUACUGUUUGCAUAUGCCUGGGAAGGAAGGAGCCUAAUGAAUCUGAUUAGUUUCAUGGACUUCCUGAAGCUAUUUUUAGAUGUUUAUUUCCUUGCAUGAUGGAAUACUUCAUCUCCCCUUAGAACAUUUUGUCAUUUCACCUCCCUAUAGACAUCAUGUCUUAAAACCUCCCCUUUCACAUGCUGUCUUGAGAAGUUCCCCCCAGAGGGAACUGCUGCCCAGCAGAGAGAGACUCUUGUUUGGCCUUCUGAGGAGCUGUCAGACUAUUUCUACAGUGGUUUGGCCAUUUUCAAGCGACUCUGGUUCCUUCAUACCCUUGCCAACAUGUUUAGCCUGUGGUAUGGUGUAUGAAGAUAUGUACACAUUUACAGGUUCACUCACAUAUGUGAACCAGAGGUCACAGUCAGAGGCCCUCCUCUUUUCUACCUUUUUAACAGACAGCCUCUCACUAAACCCUGGCUGGCUGGCUGGUCAGCAAGUCCCAGGGAUCCUCCUGUCCCUGCCUCCCAGCACUGGGCUUACAGGCAAGCACCUCCAUAUCUGGCCAUUUCAUGUGGGUCUAUGGAUCUGAACUCAGGAGUUCAUGCCUACAACGGCAAACACUACCCACUGAGCCAUCCCCCUAGCUCUGCUGAGCAUCUUUCAUGUGCCCACUGGCCAUUUGCAUAUGCUCUUUGGCUAACAAUUUAUUACUAUUAUUAUCAUUAUUAUUAAUGUAUUUGCAUUAUGAAGAAUAUAAAUUUCUAUUUAACUAUUUUUUAUAAAAAUUAUACAUUUUAUGACUUGAAAAUGAUCCUCUUUUAUCAAGUUCUAUAAAAACUGGUUGUAAAUUUGAAGUUUCCCCUUUUAAGUUAAAGUCAUUUUCACAAUAGCAGGCAGAUCUGAGUAAGUCUUUGGAAUGAGAUUAUUCCUGGAAAACUUGUAUUUCCAAUUCUGAAGUCUAAGGUCGUUAUUUUUGUUGUUUUGCUUUUUGUAGGUUUGCUGUUGUUUUUUUGUUUUGUUUGGUAGUGCAGGGACCUGAACUUAUAAGUGCUAUGUAAGCAUUCGACCAAUGAACCCCGUUCCCAGCUCCAAAUGUGUUUUUAACACUUGUCAGAACUGAUAAGUAUCACUUCAGACUGGAUCAUUACCAUUCCCUUAAACACUCAGAUGUCUCUGUCCAUUGGCAGGAAUUGCCUGGAGAGACCUCAGCCUCCAGGAAAGGAUCCAGCUUCCUCUGCGUGGCUCAGUCCCGAAGCUUACCUUAUAACACGGUAAGCACACGGUAAAUGUCUGUGAAGAGAGUAGAAGGAAUGAGCAAUGGAUGGAGAAUCGGUUCCCCCGGGGCAUGAAGAUGAUAUUCACCAGCAGCUUGAGUCCAACAGCAGAGCUGUGUGGGCGGGCUUUCUAUCAGCAAUUCUGUUCUCAGACAAACAAAACUUUUUCUAUAAAAACAGGCACCAAGCCCCUUGCUUAUCAUUCCCCAGUCUUAAGAUGGCCAAAUACACACUCACAGUGUGAAGGGCUCUGCAAGGGAGCAACCGUUUCUAACUACACAUGGACAACCCUUCGUGCAAAGAACAAGGUCAUGUGACAGCAGCCUCAUCCUCAUCAGCUGCUGUGUGAGACGCUGUACAGGGUACCAUGUCCCAAGCAGCCUCAACUUUCCUAGGAAGCAUUAAACAGUGUGAACCCCAGCUGUUAGCCUCGCAUGAGCAAAGCCCAUGUUCAGUUAGCAGCACCACAUAAAACAUGGCACAUUGCUGUGGCCUGCAAUCUUAGCAUGAGGGUAUAGACAUGAGAGGAGCAGAAAAUGGCAAAGUGAGCUCAGUGCUAGCCUGUGCUAUAUGAGACCCUGUACCC